rnacentral:rRNA from 1 species
AGAGUUCGAUCCUGGCUCAGGAUGAACGCUGGCGGCGCGCCUAACACAUGCAAGUCGAACGGCACCCACCUCCGGGUGGAAGCGAGUGGCGAACGGCUGAGUAACACGUGGAGAACCUGCCCCCUCCCCCGGGAUAGCCGCCCGAAAGGACGGGUAAUACCGGAUACCCCGGGGUGCCGCAUGGCACCCCGGCUAAAGCCCCGACGGGAGGGGAUGGCUCCGCGGCCCAUCAGGUAGACGGCGGGGUGACGGCCCACCGUGCCGACAACGGGUAGCCGGGUUGAGAGACCGACCGGCCAGAUUGGGACUGAGACACGGCCCAGACUCCUACGGGAGGCAGCAGUGGGGAAUCUUGCGCAAUGGGGGGAACCCUGACGCAGCGACGCCGCGUGCGGGACGGAGGCCUUCGGGUCGUAAACCGCUUUCAGCAGGGAAGAGUCAAGACUGUACCUGCAGAAGAAGCCCCGGCUAACUACGUGCCAGCAGCCGCGGUAAUACGUAGGGGGCGAGCGUUAUCCGGAUUCAUUGGGCGUAAAGCGCGCGUAGGCGGCCCGGCAGGCCGGGGGUCGAAGCGGGGGGCUCAACCCCCCGAAGCCCCCGGAACCUCCGCGGCUUGGGUCCGGUAGGGGAGGGUGGAACACCCGGUGUAGCGGUGGAAUGCGCAGAUAUCGGGUGGAACACCGGUGGCGAAGGCGGCCCUCUGGGCCGAGACCGACGCUGAGGCGCGAAAGCUGGGGGAGCGAACAGGAUUAGAUACCCUGGUAGUCCCAGCCGUAAACGAUGGACGCUAGGUGUGGGGGGACGAUCCCCCCGUGCCGCAGCCAACGCAUUAAGCGUCCCGCCUGGGGAGUACGGCCGCAAGGCUAAAACUCAAAGGAAUUGACGGGGGCCCGCACAAGCAGCGGAGCAUGUGGUUUAAUUCGAAGCAACGCGAAGAACCUUACCUAGACUUGACAUCUCCUGCAUUACUCUUAAUCGAGGAAGUCCCUU